UACGGAGGGGGCUAGCGUUGUUCGGAAUUACUGGGCGUAAAGCGCGCGUAGGCGGCUUUGUAAGUCAGAGGUGAAAGCCUGGAGCUCAACUCCAGAACUGCCUUUGAAACUACAUCGCUAGAAUCAUGGAGAGGUUAGUGGAAUUCCGAGUGUAGAGGUGAAAUUCGUAGAUAUUCGGAAGAACACCAGUGGCGAAGGCGACUAACUGGACAUGUAUUGACGCUGAGGUGCGAAAGCGUGGGGAGCAAACAGGG
rnacentral:rRNA from 1 species